AUUGAACGCUGGCGGCAGGCCUAACACAUGCAAGUCGAACGGUAGCACAGAGAGCUUGCUCUCGGGUGACGAGUGGCGGACGGGUGAGUAAUGUCUGGGAAACUGCCCGAUGGAGGGGGAUAACUACUGGAAACGGUAGCUAAUACCGCAUAACGUCGCAAGACCAAAGUGGGGGACCUUCGGGCCUCACACCAUCGGAUGUGCCCAGAUGGGAUUAGCUAGUAGGUGGGGUAAUGGCUCACCUAGGCGACGAUCCCUAGCUGGUCUGAGAGGAUGACCAGCCACACUGGAACUGAGACACGGUCCAGACUCCUACGGGAGGCAGCAGUGGGGAAUAUUGCACAAUGGGCGCAAGCCUGAUGCAGCCAUGCCGCGUGUAUGAAGAAGGCCUUCGGGUUGUAAAGUACUUUCAGCGGGGAGGAAGGCGGUGGAGUUAAUAACUUCACCGAUUGACGUUACCCGCAGAAGAAGCACCGGCUAACUCCGUGCCAGCCGCCGCCGUAA
rnacentral:rRNA from 1 species